rnacentral:lncRNA from 1 species
AAUGAGUGAGACGCAAUACAAGCAUAAGGAAAUGGCAACUGCAGCAAGAAAAUUACAUAGCAGCCGCCGGUUGUCUUUUGUAGGUACGAAAACCGACUUGAGUGUACUGGUUAAUUCAAAAAGUCGAUGAGAUAUCUGUAGAAGCAAGUCAAGAUAUCAGGAUCAUGCAAAGAAAACAAGAUUAGUUAAAACUCUCUGCUCACGUAAUUUUAAAAUUCACGAAAUAUUUACUUACCAAGACAUAAAUGGCAGUUGUAAGCAUGAAGUUGAGCAUUGGAUAUUCUGGGAUUAAUGAAAGAAGCCAUUUAGGUUGUCCAUUCGAGGUGUUUGAUCUGCACAUAUGUAGAAUAAGUUACAGUGCAUUUAUUCUAGUUGACAGUGAAGUCUUUGAUUUCUGGGAGACUUCAAGAGUAAGCUCAAAUGAUGUUAUAUUUCAUGUUUAUUUAGGCUCCCCCCCCCCCCCACUUGCUAGCUUACUUGAAUAUUAGACCCAAGAAAUGAAACAUCAAAUAUGAUCUUUUAUUUUAAUUACUUCGAAAACAAAUAUGCAGUGUUCCACCUCAGCUGAGAGAGUGAUAUCAAGGUAACAAACUGAAAAAGCUGGUGGAAAUUUAUAUAUAUAUAUAUCAUACCAGUCAAUUCAAAACAAGCACAGUAAGGGCAAGAAAUACGAGGACAAAACAGUUAGUCCACAAACCUCAACCAGAUAUGGAACUGUGAAAUGUAUGUUUCCAAAGUUAUCUUGCCAAGCCACCUAGCAUUACAAGGUUUAGCCAUUCCACAGCACAAAAAUAUGGUUAGACAAAACAGGUAAGGAUGCAAAAUAAAAUAAUUUAAGCUUAACCAAAGUCAGAUAAUUUAGUUAAAAUGGUUAAAGAACAUACGCAAAGAGAGUCAAAGAGACACUCCGAAGCUGCUGAGUAAAAUUUCGCAAACAGAUGUACACACUGGAAUCACAACAAAGCUGAGUUAAAACUUAACCAAAAUCCUUAGGAAUAUCUACAAGCCAUCAUGUAUAAACUACCUGAUAAGUGCUUCACCAAAGAGAAAAAAUAAAAAAUAAAAAGUACAUACGUGAUAGGAAUCCAUGAUGUAUAUGGAUGGUACUUGUUGUAUGUAACUUUGUCCAGUUUGUAGAUGCAUUCAUACCACAAAUAACCAACCUAAAUUAAAAAUAAACCAUAUAAGAAAAAUCCUGAAAUUAGAAAGGUGAUAAAAGAUAAUCAAUCAUAUUUAAGCAGACAACAAUUCGACUGUGACCACAAAGGCAUGCAACUCACAAAUAAAGCAACUGUCACGAUGCCUGCUUUUAUUGAAAGUUUUCUCUUGGGUUCAGAUUCCUCCAAUUUCUCCAUCCAUUUCUCAGCCUGACAUGUUAAAACAUUUUAAAAAUUUAGUAGUUUGUUGCCAGACACUAAAAAAUGAAUAAAUAAAUAAAUAAAUACACCAAAAAUCCAAGAUCACCAAAGAUUAAGAAGUUACAGUGGGAUGAUAAUAGGCAUAUAUCAUUCCGAUGAUCCAUAUAUAGCGAUCAAGCCCAGAUCUAAAAUGCCACUCAUGCAGUCUAGGGAGAUCUGGUUUUGCAGGAUCAGUAUAUCCUGCCAAUGGAAAAACUAUAAUGUUGAGCACCUUCCAAGAAAUCCAAGUCAACUUGAACUUAUUCAAUGUAUUCAACUUGAAUUAAGCACAAUCAGUUUAAGUUCUUUUGGGAAAAAGGUAAAACUAUCAACAAGAAAAUUCGUUAAAACUUCAUAUAGAAGGUAUGCAGAAAAGUGACAAAGGCCAUAAAACACAAUCAAAAUUGGGCAUAAAACCGAAACUGCAGAGUAUAAAUUGAGUUCUCUCUGAUUCUGCUAGAUAAGUGUUUAGGGAUAUCUGCAAGGAUACCAACCUAAUAUGAAUGUUAAAGGACUCCAAAAGAUGUCAAAAACUCCAGGAAUUUCCCAAAUCAAGAUGACCACAAGGAAACAUGCAAGAAUCUUCACAAUCAUCACCGAUCCUAUCUCAUUGUAUUUGUUAAAAAUGCCGACAGCUCCAUAAACCAUUAUGGUGAAAAGCGUGUGCAUUGGGCAGAUAUAGUACAGCAUAUAGUCAUUGUUGAGAACAAUACAGCAAAAUGCCACAAAGAAAUUCAGCCGCCACAUCAUCUGCAUCAAAUUAUAAGGAUGUAAAAGCAUGUGAGACCAAAAAAAAAAAAAAAAGUCAUGAUUAUUACAGUGAAAUGUAGCAAUAGCCUAGAAUAAAUAUAAUCACCUGAGCAAAGCGUGGAAGGCUAAAAUCCUUUCUGAUGUAAUAGUAGGAAAAGUUUCCAAACCCAGUCAUCCAAACAUAUGCAGCAAUAAAGAUACGUAUUGCAUUGUAUAUCUCAGUUGCAGCAAAGUAAUGGUACAUUAAAAAUAGGACCUGCCACAAUACAAAAUCACCAGUAAAACAAUUUAAAGUCCUCAUGCACGUUGAAUAUAUCAUUUAGUUGAUAAAUGAAGCAAAGCUGUAAGAACAAGCCCUUUUUCGAAAACCAACUAAGAUAUGGUAAUGUACUCUAUUCUUUCAACAUAUAACCAUCAUACAUAUCAUAAUUAAUUCCAUCUCGUGGUUUGGCAAUUUCUUGAUAUGAUUUUCUCAAAAUUACAGUGCAGUUACUGAAAAAAAAAAGAAAAUAUUGUCUUCAGCUUGAAUAAGAUGAAGAGCAUCAAGAGAUAAUGCUUGUUGUACACAGAUGAAAACAUAAAUGCAAGAUAAAUAUAUCAAGAAGAAUAACAGAAUGCAAAUUAAAAUCCAAUUUCCAUAAUUCAAAGUAAAUGCAGAACAAAAAGCGGCUGCAAAGCAUACAAUUAUUUUUAUUCAAAAAAAAAUUAUUAAUUAAACACAUACAAACUACACGAGACUCGAACCCAAACCUAAGUCCUGGGAAGGCUGCCCACUAAUCAGUGGAGCUAAGCCUUGGUCUAAAAAAUAUUUUUAUUCUUUUCACUCAAGAUUAUGCUAAAGGAAUAUUUCUUUAUUAGUUAAAAGUUCUGUCAAGAAAUACUUGCCUGCAUCCAUCCUUUCCACUCCUCAGUCUGAUGUCGAUUAAGGUAUUGUAUGGUCUUUCCAGAGAAUGGAGACUUGUCAUUAUGUUUCUUCAAAGAAGUCAUAGCUGAAACUAUGACAAGAAGAAGGUAGAGAAAGAGGAAAAGAUCGCGAUUGUAGUUCUGUUGAAGAAAAGGCACAUUAAGGAGGAGAAACAAAUAUAUAAAAUUUACAAUAUAGACAUCUAGCUCAUUGUCAUUAUCAGGCAAAUGUGAACUAUGAUUCCAACAACCAUCAAGUUAUUCUAAAGAAGCACCAUAUUUAUAAUUUGCUCUUGUACUGCAUUUCAGGUAAAAGCUACGGCUGCAUAAAACUUAAGCAACCUAUACCAUCAAAAGACAAAAUAUAAAAAAUUACAGGGUAUACACUAACAGCUCAUAGGAUAUCCAUCAAGAACAAUUAAAAGGUUAAAAGAUUUGCAGCUUCAAACAACUUCAUAAGGGCAUUAGCUUAAACCGAGGAACAAAACUAGCAAUGCCAAUUUAGAUUCCCCAACUUCCUCCCUUUCUCCCUCAUAGAAAAAAAUAAGAUGGCUGGAUUUCAGCAAUAUGUUGAUAUGCACAUGACAUAGAUAGUUGAAAAGAAGUAAGACAAAAAACUCUAGAGUGACAGAGGAAAUGUUUCAAAGUCAAGGAACCACUUGCAAAAUUUACUUGAGUAUAGCAUUUGAGUGCGAAUCAAUCAGAAACAAAAUCAUGAAAGAAACAAAUUAAAUAAAUAACAGGACAAAAGUACCUUAGUAGAAUCACCAAGUAAAUUUGUACGGUCACAUAUGUAGAAAUAAAACAAAAUUGCCCCGAACUCAGCCCUACAUGAUAUACAUGAAGUUUAUAUACGUAUAGCAAAAGGAGUAACCAGCAACCUAUUCCCCUCAACAAAAUAAUAUGUCUUACAUUGCUCUCAGAGUUGCACGAUUUUCUAGCAAGAAAGCAUCAUCCAUAGUCAUAAACCUAGAAGAAGAAUAGGUGAAGGUAAGAAAGACUUUUUAAUACAAGAAUCACAUGAAGGUCCAUGACCAUUUUGCAUAUCACAGGAAGUGACCUAAUCAGGUUUGUUUUGAUGGAUGAACUGAGAAGCCUCGCAGAAGCUGAUCUUGAAAGGCCUCCUUCUAAUAAAACAGCACGGUCAUCUUCCUUGAUGGUCUCCUUUUCCAAUUCAACUAGAUUGGUGUCUGAAUGGCUGCAACCAGGGAAUUCAUUCAGUACUAGAAAAUGUUUAUGUUGACCACUUGAUAGUCUAGAUUCUACCUUCCCUUUAUUCUCCAAACAUACCAGUCAACUCAUUGUAUCAGUGACUUAGAUUUUCGUCCAGGCACACAUAUCACAAGAUCUCAAAGUAUUAUUUUCGAUUUUCAAAAAAAAAAAAAAAACGAGAGGAAAAUUUUCCCUUAGUCUACACCUGUGACAACAAUAUUUUUCAUCCAAAAAGAAACCUAUUUUGCAACAUCAAUUCACCAUGUAGACACAUAAAAGUGGAUUACCUGACAAAACCAAGGUUAACAAACUACUUCAAUCCAUUUGGUAAGGAACUUACACUUUCGUAUGAGAAGAAACUUUCUUGUAUUCUAAAAACUCUGAAUAUAUCCAUGCAACGAAUACUGGGAUAAUUCCGAGUAGAAAAGACACCUGAGAUGUGCAGCAAAAGACUCCAUUACAUACGUCAGGCAAAGUUUAUUCAGAACACCAAAAAUGAAGACACCAAUAACAAUCCAAAUGAAACAAAAUAUGCAGAAACAGCAGCAGAAACUGAUUGCCAUCAGCUUCAGAACUUCUAUUAAAACUAGACAUUAGCAUUUUUCUCUCUCCUUUUCUUUUUUAUUUGUAAUGUGUACAGUCUCAUUUUGCUAGUGUGCUCAAAUUGCUCUCACUCACAGAUUCCGCUAAUCACCAAGCAUUAUCAAUUUAAAAAUGAAGCAAAAUCUGCAGAAUUAUCAGAAGUUGUUGCAUCUAAAAGAUCUAAAGCUAACAACCACAUUUUACUGAAAUGAAAAAAGAAAAACAAAAGUUAAUCAAACACAACACAAGAAACAAUAAGAUUAGGAAGAAACUAAUUAUAAUUAGCAGGAAUCGAAUAAUGCUGAGGAACUGAAACGGCACCGCACCUGUCCAGGCGUGAUUGGCCGGAAAACCACCAUUGUGAUAGGAUCCGGAAAACUGAAAAACAAAAAACAAUAAAAACAAUGCAUGUAGAAAAUAACGACGAAAUAUAAAACAAGAAAACGAAAAUUAAACUCUAAAUUUCGAAAUUUAGAUCGAUAAGCUAAAAUAAAAUAAAAAAGAAAUGAAAUGAAGUACCAGAGCAGAAGAAGAAGAAGGAAGCAGAGGCGUAUGGGAGAGUGAUCUCUAUGACAUGCUUAUAUAAAUAAAAGUUCUGAUAGAAUUUAAUAAACCUAGGCUAGGCUUGCGUAAUAUAAAGCUAAGAAGCAGAGAUCCGAAGUGAACAAGGGACGAUGAGUUUGCUUCAAGAAGAGAGAAAAUGUUCGACGACGCGUCGUUUUCACUCCUCUUUCUCAAACGGUCGAUGGAUUGGUGGUGGUCGGGUUGUUGCUGUUGGCUUUGGUUUUUGGUUGCUCUUUAGCUUUCGUUUUGACACACACUAUUUUUUACUACAAACAUUGAAUUUAAUAAAAUGAACCAUCAUUAUUAUUAUUUAUUGUGUGCAUUAUUAUUUAUUAUUUAUUACUAAACAAGCCAAUGCACUGCCUUUUUUCUCUCCGAAUGAUAAUAACUUUUUAAAUAGCUGCUGAUUUUUAAUAAUUUUUUUGAAGCCUGAUUACUGGACUUUCAUAACAAAGAGACGCUUUGAUAUUAAUUAUGAGCUCCAAUUUUAUAACAGAUUUCUGACAGAAGGUGACAAUGUUGAGCACGUGAAAAGAAAUUGGGGAAGAUCUAAAACCUCAGAUCACCACCCCACGAAUCAUUGACUCUGACUGAUGACUUUUGAUCAGAAACACGACUAAUGUUGUGGAUAAACAAGCAAUUUAAAACCGCACAAACUCUUAUCGUAACCGUUGGUUUUGAUUACUUUAUUGAACGAUAUGAACUGUACUUAUUAAUGCAGAGGGGAGUCUUGAAGAUAAAACAUAAUUAAUUAAGAGACAAGUAAAGAUUAAGUAAAUCACCCAAUCGCAUAUUUUAACACUUUCGGACAUAAAUCAAUGGACACGUCUCACAACUCUCUCUCUCUCUCUCUCUUUUCCCCUCUUUGGCUUUUAUUUUGGUAACUCAAUAAAAGAGUUAUACGGUUUGCUUAAGGAACCUUGACAGAUAAACAGACAUACCAUACAAAAGCAAUUUAAUUCAAAUUUUGUAGUAACCAUUAACUCUGUGCAUUUAUAUUAAUUCAAAAAUCUUAGUGUGUAUAUCGUUUAUUUUUGGUGAUAUAAACAAGGUAGGUUGUUAUUACUUCAUCGGUAAAAGCUCGUUUAGUCUAUAUAUUUUAAUAUUACUGUCCAUUUAAUUCUUAUAUUUUUAAAAGUAUCUUAAAAUAUCCCUAUUGUUAAAUAUUGAUACCCCUGGCCAUACUUUUUAUUUAUUUUCACUUACUUUUACAAUAUUAUUCUCUUACAAUAAUUUUUUAAGACAUUAAUAAAAAGAAAAAAAAUUAAUUUAUCAAUUUAACCCCAAAAAUAAAAUAAAAACAAAAAGAAUAUAUAUCAAUUUUUGUGGAAGCUCAUAUAUGUCCAAAAAAUAACAUUAUUAGAAAAAUUAAAUGUACCAUUUUUUUAGGCAUAAAAAAUUAAUAUAUUAACUCCUCAAUAAGGUAUUCCACAAAAAAUCAUAUAUAUAUAUUCUUUUUGUUUCUAAUUUUAUUUUUUGGGAUCAAAUUCAUUAUUUAAUUUUUUUUCUUUUUGUUAAUGUCUAAAAAAAAUAGACAUUAUUGCAAGAGGAUAAUAUUGUAAAAACAAGCUAAAAUGAAGAAAAAAGUAAUGGCAUGGAUGUCAAUAAUUCAAUAGCAUAGAUAUUUUGAGGUAUUUUAAAAAAAUAUAAGAACUAAACGGACACUAACAUCAAAAUAUAGGAACUAAACAAGCUUUUACCUUUACUUUGUUCAUAAUCAAGUAAUUAAAGUUAAGGCAAUGAGUGCAAAAACAAUGUGAAUUGGGCUAUUCUUCCUCUAAACUUUACUUUGAACACUCAUCUUAAAAUAAAAAUUUUUAUUAUCUAAUUACCAUUUAAUGAAAUUACUUAAAUAGACAUAAUUAAGAAAAUGAACAACCUUUUUUCCCCCUUAAGGUGUUCAGCACCGAUUUUAAAUUAUUGCAUUUUAGAUCACACACGAUGUGGCUUGCAAUGACAUCUCCCAAUUCAAUGUUUGGUUAAAGCUCUAUCAAUCUCCUGCGUAAAUAGCAAGUUAUAUAAUUAAUCUUCUUUCGCUAAUCAAGAGCUAUAUUACACAAAAUGAAGAAGAUUUUAUUUUUCUUCCCACGUGUGGUUUGCCAGACAACAAAAUUGACGAGAAUCAAAACUAAGAAAUUGAUCUUUAAAAAUAUAAAUAUACGUUUUUUAUUUAGUUAUCUGUCUGCACCUGUUAUAAAUACUUAUUAUAAUUGUUGUUCUUGUUAUUAUUGUUAUAUAUCUAUAACACAUAUUAAAAGAUCAAUCCAAAAUGUAUAAAUAGGCACGUCUUGAAAGAAUUUUGAUUAAAGUUGGCGUUGAAAUCAUUUUAUUUAUAGUAAAUAAUUAAUUAAUUAAAGUAGACGACAUGCAUGAUUCAAAUUUAGGCAAUAUUGGAAAUAUUAGAGUGUUCAGAGUAAAAAUUCAAUUCUUUAACUUUAAGUUUGAAAAUGGGUGUUUUGAGAAAAUGAACAUUGUGAGUAAUUUUUUUAGUGCAAAUAAUCUUACACAUACAAUAUUCAUAUGGUAAUUACUUGAAACUCCAAAUGUAAAUACACACACACACAUAGAGAGAGAGAGAGAGAGAGAGAGAGAGAGAGAGAGAUCUAACUAUCUACUUUGUUAUUUUACAAACUACAACAUCAUUUCAUUUUAUUAAGGAUUUAGAUAAUAACCUAUUCAAACAAUCAACCACUGGGCCUUUAACGGUCUUCUCUUUUAGAAAAUGUGGGUGGUUUAUAUGUCCUUCAUAAAAUCUAAUGUCAACCAGUAAUAUGAGUUAUAGUAUGAUAUUCAAUAUAAACUAGUAAAAUGAGUUACGAUGUUAUUGUAAAUAUCGAUGUAUAAGAAAAAAAAAUUAUUCGAACAAUCACUCGACCAUUAUUCAUCACACAAAUUGAUGCAUUAUCCAUACACAAUAACUUUUUUGAUUGAUUUUGAUAUAUUUAAUUUUGUUAUUGUUAAUGACUAGUUAAUCCUGUUCUUAAAUCUUAAUGCUCUUUGUGGAAAAUUGACUAAAUAAAUAAUUCCUCUUGCAAAAGUCUCACAAUUCUCGUAAUAAUUUUUCUAAGUGCACCGAGUAUGAACAGCUAGUAAGUAAAUUGAAUAACUACGCACAUAACCAAUUAUUGAUCGACAUAAAAUAAUUCACACGUGAGGCACGCGAUGUAUCUUAUACGUACAAAUGAAACAUGUAUGCGUAUUACAUAUGUUUUUUCUUCUUUGAUGUGCGCAUAAUAUCUUCGUGUAUAUAUAUAUAUAUAUAUAAGACGAGGAAGCCAAGGAAUCAACCAAAUUAAGCUCGAUCAAAUCAUUUUUGUUUUUGGUUUUCUUCUUCUUCUUUUUUUUCCCGAAUUUGGCCCGAAAAAUCCAAUUAUGCAAUCAUAUUCCUGAAUUAAUGAUAAAUCAAACCAAAAUUAAAAACAAAAAUGACAAACCAUUGAUUCUAGCUACUGUGUUAUAGACAUAAUCACAGAUAGUUGAUUGGGAAGAAAAUUCGGGCUUUUAUAUUAUCUCUGUGUGUGUUUAUAUGUGUGUGUGUGUGUGUGUGAAAACUACUAAUAUACGGAACUAAUAUAUAUAUAUAUAUAUAUAUAUACACUUCAAACUUGUAAGCUACUUUUUUGGUGAUUAGUCGCAAGUUGAAAAAAUCAAGUGGUGUAAAUUAAGUACCAAAACAGAAGGUCAAAAAUACCUGCAUUUAAUUUCCUGCCAUCCUGCCUGAUUGAAGAGGUCAUAAAACUGACGAAUAAAGCUAGCUAGUGCAAUAUUCAACAAUCUAAGCUUGGCUGCGCGACUAGAAUCCUGAAAAGCUCUCCAAAAAUGGCGUUUUCUAACUUUUGGAGACAAAUUGAACAUAAUAUUUACUUCAAUACACAGGGAGAAAACUCUGGCAAUUCUUCAUCGAUCAUAUAUAAAUGAUAAUUAUAGUUCCAUAUAUAUCGAGGAGUAAUUGUAUACACAUAACAUAUAUGGGCAGGCUUCCAUAAAAUAAUACAAAUUAACACCAACAGCAGGCUAUAUAUAUAAAAUACAAAUUAAUUAUCGCCAGCAUCAACAUAUUUAAUUUCUCCCAUUGUAUGUAGAAAAAAACAUCCAUCGAUCUCAAAGACGAGGAUGCUGCAAAAUACAUAUAAUUUAAGGGGCAAAACAACAGUUUCAGUUUGGAUUCGUUCAUAGACGUGGUUCUCUUUAAAUUAAAAGGUUAGAAUAUAAAAGUCUAAGUAGCCGCCUGUGGGCAUAGUAACUAAGUACAUAUCUACAAAUUAAAGUCAAGGAUAUGGAGAGAGAUGAUCGGAUUCAUGGCUCUCUUUUGAAGAACACUGAGGGAGCUAUGUCUUGCAAAAGACCAAAAUUAUCAGGAAGCUGAUGAUCGUCAAGAGGGUGUGUAACAAAAGCAUUAGGGCCUGGAGCAGCAGUUUGGUUAUGAGUCAUGGCAGGCAUCAUAUUACUGUAACCUAACCACUGAUCUGGUGGAAAACUUGAGACAUUCAUCGGCGUCGGCGUGAGCAUAGAUGAGGAUUGGAAAAUCCCGGCAGCGUUUCCUCUCAGGGUAGUGGGAAGUGGAUGGCUAUGUUGGCCUUCAUAUGUUGUGAUCACAAUUGAUGGAUCCUCAUAUGAUCUCUCCACUCGCUUCUUCACUCCGCAUUUCUGAGUGGUGCACCUAUAAUAGCUUCUGCGCGCGCGCGCACACACACAUAUAUAAAUGUGAUCAUAUAUAAAUGUGAUCAUGAAAAUAUAUAGUUUGUUGACUGCUCGUAGGAUGACCAAAUUAAUUCUUAAUUGUAUUAUCAAGCUUAAUUUCCUUUGCGUGUAAAGAUGGAAAAAUAACAAUUAAUUAAUUACCUUGGAAAAGGGCUAUUCUUGACAGCCUUUUGUCCGUAUUUUCUCCAUCGAUACCCAUCUUCUAGAUGAUCAACUUCGCUCUUCGUCAUGAACGCAACUCGCGGUUCCUUUUGCUUUUUCUCUCCUUUCUUAUUAUUCUUCUUUUCUCUGCCCCUGUAGUAAAUUAUCAAUUAAUGCUCAAAUUAUAUAAUUAAUUAAUCAAUCAAAAAAUUAAUUAACAGUUGCACUACUAUACGUGUGUGUGUGUGUGUGUGUGUGUGUACAUGAUGAAGGUCGAAUUACUAAGUAAAUAUUGUUAAUUAAAACUUACAUUUUCUUAGAGCUCUCUCCCCCGUGACCGUGAUCUUUUGGUGAUUGCAGGGCUUGGUCAUCUUUUUGAGUACUCUUGCCAGAAUGAGAAUCUUCUUCACCGCCAGCCUCUGCAGAAGAAGAAGAGAUUGAAGAAUUCGGAAUCAAGAGAUCUUUAACUUGUUUUUGGUUGCCUUCAACCGAAGAAAACACUUCGGAUGAAGAAGGCGACAUGCCCGUGAAGGCCUUUUCAAGUGAAUUAUAGUCCAUGAGUCCAUGAAAGCAGUCGGUGAAGUUCAUUUGUGAAGGAUCAAACUCCUGUGGGCUCACAUAAUCUGGUGAUGAUGAACUUGCAGCUACGGAAACACCUGGCCUGGCGGCCGCUUCAAUGUUAACAUUAGGUUGAAAUAGAGCACGAUAGUAAAUAUCCCUAGAUUCAUUAGACAUGGAAGAAGAAGAAUAAGAAGAAAAAGGAAGAAGUAAAGAGAGAUAGCUAGCUAGCUUAUUUGGUAUGGACUCUUAGUUUAAUUUUGUUUUGGACUUGUGAUUUCACAUAUAAAUAUUCAUGUCGUUUUUUGCGUUUCUUACACAACACAACACACACAUGUAUAUAUAUAAAAUUAGAAUGAGAGAAAGUCUAUCUUGAGCGUUGAAUGAGACUUUUGUUACGCCACUUUUAUAAAGAGAAAAAGUUGACACAUCUCCUUUCCGAUAACAUGACCAUAAAAUAAAAUGGCCUCUCAUGUGGAAACAUGUCCAUGCCUAGCUUGCGAGAUCCUACAAUUCAAAAUGAAAUGUAAAAUAAAAAUAAGAAGAAGAUACAACCAUAUAUUAGAAUCACUAAUGUAUGUUAUAGACCAGUCCGAUGAGGGAGAAGUGAAGAAGGCGUUGAAUUGAAUGAACGGUGAUCAGCGUUUAAGGGGAGCUAUGAGACGGACAUGGCAAUACGAGAUAAGAAGUCAGCGGAGACUAGCAGUAACCGGCGAGAGUCAGUCAGUCAGUCACGAUAUGUGUAAUGUAUGGCUCUUCAUUUUUUAUGAGAUGAUGACGACGAUAGGAAAAAUUGGUCAAAGUUUCAAAGUUCACUAUUAUCGUUAUCAGGCUUACACGUGUCUAAAUUGGCACCGGCUUUUGACCGUAGCCGACAACAUGAUCUGGCACGUGGGAGACCUUUAAAAGUUUAAGCUGCUUUCUUAGUUCUCACAGUGAUCAUGGCCCAUGGGCCUCUUUGGCCUGUCCUGCCGUCUGCAACUGCUGGAGCCUUUUCCCACGUCACCAUCUUCGUUCCAACUGUACGUUUGACUGAACUGCUGUACAAACUUUUUGGUCUCGCACUUUCUGGUCCCAUUCCUCAUCGACACACUACAAUUUAUAUGGCUCUUAAUUAGCUUCUCUAUAAUAUUGAAAUUUCGACUUUCGUUAGUUACGUAUUUGAGAUUAAUUCUUCAAAUUUGAUAAUAAUAACUAUUAUUAUUAUUUUUUCAAAUAAAAAAUCCCAUUCCUUUUAAUUAGCUUGAAAAUAAAUUAUUAUUCUUUCGUACAACAAAUUAAUGCGCAAACGUAGUUGGCGUACUUUCAUUUAAUUUUCCGGCGAGAAAUGUUGUUUGUGAGUUAAAAGAAUUGAUGAUCAUUCAAUAUAAGUUUGUUGGGUAAUUUGUCGUUGACAUUGCCAUUCUGUUUUUAUUUUGCAGCCCAAAACACCAAUUUAUGUGCACAUAAGCAAUUAGCAUUAAUAUGGAGAUGUAGACGCUCGUAUGCGCCCCGGGUGUGCGCGCGCACACGUGCAUGUAUGUGUGUGUGUGCGUGCACGCGUGUGCGCGUAUGUAUGCAUAUAUAUUUAUAUAAUUUUUGUUUAAUGACGACAUAUACAUUUUAAUAAAAUAAAAAUGUUAUUAACAGAUAAAAAAAUAUAAUUUUUAAUGUAUUGAAUUUUUUUUUUAUUUUAUAAAAUGAGGAUGCCUAUAUUGCACAAAUUAAAUAGAAUUGAGAAAUUGCCAAAAUUUAGAAAUAUUGGUUAAUUAGUAGUAAAUUCUUUAUAUUUAAUCGUAGCCCAAAACACCAAUUGAUGUGCACAUAAGCAAUUAAUGUUAAUAUGGAGAUGUAGAAGCUAGUAUGCGCCCCGUGUGUGUGUGUUUAUAUAUAUAAUUUUUGUAUAAUAAUGAAAUCUUCAUUUUAAUAAAAUAAGAAUAUUAUUAACAAAUAAAAAAAUAUAAUUUUUAAUGUAUUAAAUAUUUUUUUUUUUUAUAAAGUGAGGAUGCCUAUAUCGCACAAAUUACAUAGGAUUGAGAAAUUGUCAGAAUUUUAAAAUCUUGGUUAAUCAGUAGCAAAUUCUUUAUAUUUGAUGAGUUCGUUAUAUCUAGAAGUUUUUUCUCUUAUUAUUUAAAAUAAAUAAAUAAAGAACAAUCGUCUCCCUUCCAAUGACAAAUUGGAAGAAAGCACACAAAUCAAUUUUCCGGCGACAAUCAUCAAAUGACAAGAAAAUUUAAGGCCGUAUAUUGCUAAAGCCACCCCUUCAUGAAGCCACGACAGAACUGAUCAAUAACACGAAUGAAGUUUUGAAAAAUCAAGAAACAUUUUGCUGUUUCUCAUCAAUUUUAUCACCAUUUUUGUGAAAUAUGUACGUGUCCUCCAACGUGCAUCGUCUUUAAAGAAACGGUACAUGCAUUAUUUGAUUAUUGAGUUUUUUUUGUGCAUUAGUUAUCAUGAAAAUGAAAUAAAAUGUAUUUCAACAAGAAAUACUUUCACAUGUUUAAUUAUUAACUUACCUCAAUCAUCUGACAUUGAUGGGCUGAUAUCAAGUUUUAAAUUUUGAUAAGAGUUGGCUUAAUCACUAGUUUCGGAGGGACUCUUUGCUAAUGCUGCUAGUUGUUAUUCUUCUCAGUGACCAUUAGUUUAUUCUUCAUUGUGAUGGUUCCUCUAGGAAUCGUUCAAAAGUUCUUACUUUCUUAUCUCUCUAGCUAUAUGUUUGACUAGAUUGCACUUUUCUUGUAUUUUUUUUUCUUCAUUUUUCUGUGUGUUUAACAUGCGUUCAUAGAUUGAGCAAAGUUCAUCACGUCUCUCUAUUAUAGAAUUUUCCUGUUAUUAUUAUUAUUAUUAUUAUUUAUUUAUUUAUUUAUUUGGGUUCAAAAUGAAAAUUAGUAGUGUUUUGAAAUGGUAAAUCAAAGAUGAUUCACUUAAAAAUAUGUGCAGUUGCCGUUAAUUGUGGCUAGUUGUUUGGGUUACACGACUGCUGGUGUCCUCUUCCAAUGCCUGCGCUUUUCACACAGUGCUUGUUGACAAAUUUAAACUUACAUAAUAUAUACUAAUCCUUCUUAAAUCAUGACCUUCUGAUUUAAUUACGGAAAGGCGUAGACUAAGUUAUACAUUUGACUCCACAAUUGUCACAUUUAUUCUCUCACAUAUCGCUACACAAUACCCACUUCAAUUAUGACGUCUACCUACCUUCUCAUAUUGUUGGUUGUUGCCUUGGUGGGUAUCAAAAUUGUACACUUAUUUAUUCUUUUUUAAUUGCAAAUUAUGUCCUUUACGUAUUGAAAUAGGUUUUCUUUAAUUAUUUUUUUGAACCCAAAAAAAAAAAAAGACAAAGACAUAGAGAGAAGAACCAAAUGGUUCAAUUCUGUGCACUACAACUAGAUCUAUGACAGCAGGUGUGAUAGAUAGUAUAAGUCAUUUGACAAUAUUUAAAAACACAUCAUUCUAUUGACAUAAUUCUAUCUUAGAUUGAACUUAAUUACAUGUGAAUAUUUUAAAAAGUAUGUUCUGUUUAAGGAAAACAAAGAAAUGUGACAUGUGAAAUAGGACCAUCACUGUGUCAUGUGUAUAUAAUUUUUUUUUUCCAUUGCCUAAUAUUAAUGAUAGUACAUAACAUUUAUAACAAAGUAGUACAUAACAUUUAUAAUAAAGUACUGUGUUAGUUUGUGACAUCUAAUCUACAAGGUUAGUAUUGGGUUAUCGUAUAUUUGAAUUUGAUUGGAUACAGUUAGAAGAUUUUUUUUUUUGUCUUAACCACGAGGUAUUUUGGGGAGAGUUCCAACUGUGGGAAGUACCUUUAAGACCGUACCACAACUCAGACUAUAAAUUUCUACUCGAACCGGGAGGCACAUAUUUGAAUUUAAUUAAAUACAAUUAGAAGAUUUGAUCAACCAUGUCUGCACCAAUAAUGAAACCUAUAGUGCAAAUGCCGUAUUCUCGUGGAGAAUUAAUAAUAAUAAUACAUAAUUUGUGGGUAAAAUUCCAGUGGACGAUUGCUUAUUGGAGGGUGACUUUUGAUGAUGGCUAAGGUUUGAAUUGACAAAACAGCAUGAAAUUGUUGACCUUAAUCUGUUGCAUUCAUUAUAUUUGGAAUGAGGAGUAUGAAUAUGUGCUAAUAGUCCCUAUCAAUGCACAAGAGGGCAGGUUUUUGUUAGGUGUACACACUGAAAUAAGAGUCUUUGGAUGGAUGUCGACUCCAUUAAAUCACAAAUUAUUUAUUUGAGGUUUAAGAGUGUUUAAAAAAAAAAGGUUAAAACUUUUAUUUAUUUUAUUUAAAAAAUUUAGUUAAUAUUGUUAUUUAUUUUAUUUAAAAAACUUUAUUUAUUGUUAUUUAUUUUUAAAAUAACCUUUGAUAAAAAUCUCCUAUCCUACAACAUAUCUGCUGUACAUAUAUAAAAAGUAAGAAAGGAGUGGCAUUCAAAAUUCGAUUUUGAAAAUCAUUUUUAUAUUUAAUACAAUUUUUGAUGUAUCCUCAUAUACUAUUAAAUCCAAAAUUAUCUCUAUUUAUUAGAAAAUAAAAUUAUUAACUUUAAAGAGUUUAUUAUUAUUACUAAUUAUAUUAAGAUAAAAGAAUAAAAAUAAUAAUAUAAAUAUUUAUUUUAGUUAUUAAUCAUUAUAUGUACACAAUAAAAGAUAUUUUAUAUACAUGUUUAAAAAAAAUUUAAUCUAACGUAACAUUUAAUUUAGUCAUUUAUAUUCUUACAACAGUCUAACAGUAAGAUUAACUAAAUACAUACGAUUGUUUUUAAGACUCAAAACACUUUUAAAAAUAAAUUUUACCAAACAUUUAAUUGAUUAUUUUCACAGCUGAUUAUUUCUACAGCACAACUAAUGACAAUUAUUUUAAAAGUUAUAGUAUUACCAAAUUAACCCUUAAUUUAGUUAUGGGCAAAAUGAUACAUGCACCCCCAAGGUUUGGGAAAAUGGUCACAAAGACCUCCACGUUUUAAAAAAUGGACACCAAUAUCACUACUUAACCAUAAUACCCUUUGGAUUUAAUAAUUAGAAAAAUGACUUUGAAGUUUUUUAAUUAAUACAAAUUUAAUAUAGGUAAUAUAAUAUGUCUAGUAGACUAAUAAUAUUAAGUUAUUUUUAACAUUUGAAAUUAUAUUAACUAUUAAAUUAUUAUAGAGAUUUUAAACAAAUUUUUGGGUUAAAUAGAUUUUACAAUUAACAAAAUAUCUCCCUAUUAAUAAUAUUAAAAUUAUUAUUUUAUAAUAUUCAAAAUAAUUUUGAUUUUAAUUUAUUUAUUGCAAUAUUAUGUUUCUAUUUAUUAUUAAAAUUACUUUAAUAUAAUAAAUUUGGUCUACUAGAUUGUAAAAUAUAAAAAUAUUUUAAAUAUUAAAAUCAUUUUAAAAUGUUUAUAAUAUUACAUUUAUUUUAAUGGCAUAUAUCUAUUCAUUAAGUCAAAGGGCAUUAUUAUUAAAAGGGGAUCUUGGUAUCCUUUAUUGAAAAUUUAUGGUCUUUGUGACCAUUUCUUCACAGUCUAGGGGUGUAGGUAUUAUUUUUCCUAUAUUUCUGUUUUUUAUUAGACCUCACAAAAUACAACAAAAUUCAUUAAUUUCAUUAAUUCGGUGGUGAAGGGGAAGAAAAAAAUUGAAGUUUUGAAAGCUAUGCGACAACUUGUACGCUCCAAUGUCAAUUCCACACUUACGUUUAAUUUGGCAACUUUGUGACAACCAAGCAACCUAUUCUAAUCAUAAUGGAUUCUAAUUUUAGUAUGGCUUGAAAAGAAAUCUUACAAAACGAUUUAUUUGAAUAUAUAUGAGUUUAGUUUAGAAUUCAUCCCACCCUCCACUCUUUUUUAUUAGUUGAAAUUACACAAUUAAGGACUCAUUCAAAUCCGAAACUUCCUAUUUAGGAAAAGUAAUAUCAAUUAAUCAUUUGAAAACAACCCUAUUAAUAAAUUAAAGAUGAACAAGAUAUAUAUCUCUUUAAAACGUUAUUGAAAUUAUUUGAACACCCAACCAGGAUUAGGAUCCUAGGUUCGAAGAUAAAGAAAAAAAAAAAUCAUGUAACGUCAAAAAUCUGUUUUUUUUUUUCACAUAUUUUUAAUUAUAUGAAUUGACUUGAAAGUGAAGGUACAUACACCGGUCCAAUCGCGAAUAAACAUAUACUCCACUUAGAAUUAUUGUUCCAAACUUUUUUUAUUUUUUCUCUUAAACAAAUACAACUGGUUUCAUAAAAUAUAAUUUCUAAAUUUGAUAAGCAAAGCUUGUCUCUUAGUCCCCUAACUUAUAAUGUGAAAGGGAUAUGGAUUGUUUGAUUAUUUCGUCAGUCAAAAUUUCUUUUGACCCAUUCUAGAUUCUGGCUAAUUAUUUUCAUCUUCUCAAUUCUAAUAUAUAUUUCAUAAUGUCAAUGUGCCCCACCACCAUUCAACAUAAUAAUAAUAAUAAUAAUAAUAAUAAUAAUAAUAAUAAUAAUAAUAAUAAUAAUAAUUCUAACAACAAUCACAACAACAACAACAAUAAUAAGGGUUCAAAUAUAUUAGAGUUGCUAUAAGGAAUAGCCGUACGAUUAUAACCAUAGUCUGAUGGUCAAAUGGAGUGAUUAUGAUCGUAUGGUUGUUGGAGUUAUUCUAAAGUGGAGCAUUUCCAACAUAGUUAUGUCCUAAUAAUAAUAAGAAUAAGAAGAAGAAGAAAAUGUACAAAAACUUAUUUUAACCAAAUUAUACAUGCAAUAACAGUAGUUACACAAGAUAAGAAGGAGUUGACUUGUCCAUUUUCGAAAGCUUUUUAGUAAACGCCAUGAACUCAAUUAUUUUUAGAGACCAUGUUUGUUCACUCAGUCAAGGUCACUGAAGCCAGUUUCACUUGAAUUCAAAAAGGUUGUAUUAUGAUUCUUCAUUUUAAUUAUGAGUUAUUUUAUGCUAAGAAAGUUUACAAAUAAAGAGACCGAUGACUUUGUCUGCAUGCACCUGUUACUGUGCCAUGGUUGUUAUUUCAUUGUGGGGUAAUUCAUGUAAGCGGACAUAAAGAGAUAUUAAAGGAGCUAUAGCCAACUAGCUUGAAUUGGGGGAUCAUACAAAGAUUUUUAUGAAACUUGGAAAAUUCAAAGUUAUGAUAUCUAUUGAAUUUUGUGAAUUGAACAAAAGGGUAUUGCUUUUAUCCCAGUAUCAACUAAUAAUCGAGUGAUUAGCUUUUGAAUGAAGACUUCUAAUGAGUUUUCACUAUAAAAAAAUAUCAAAGUUCAAUGAACAUAUACACUUUGGGUCGUGCAUGGACUAGUUGAAAGGUCAAGCUAAUUAGGAAAAGCUUGGAUGAUUAAUACAAUACGACGCCAAUUAAUUAUUGUCCAAAAGUAAAUUGCUUUAGCUGUUUCGCGAAAAGUGCCUUUGAUCAAAUUAAGCUGCUCCUAGUCUAGAGACAAAGCAAUACUGGCCUACCACCUUUGGGAGAUUUAGGGUAACAAGGCAAAGCCAGGACGCAUGCAAUUUGCAAACCCUCUGCUCUACAGUCUACUACGCUACUCAUUUCUGAACCAAAGUAGUCUGUAUGUGAGAUUGUUUCUACCUCAAAUAAACGUUAAACAUUUUGAGAUUUAAAAAUAAAUUACUUAAAUAUCGCAUUUCAUUGAAAAGGUUAUGUAGCUUGAAUCGCUGCGGCAGGCAGUGAAGUAAGCUUUUGGGAGAGCUAUUAACUUACAUAAAUUAAGGCAUGCAAAUUAAUUAAAUAGAGCAUCAUGUUUCUAGACCACUUUAAUUUCUACACAAACUCUGUGCACGACAGAAAGAUUGUUUAAAAUCAUUACCUAAAAGUUUGUAUGAUUACCGCACAAAUUAUGCAAAGGUCAAGUAACCUUUCAUCAGCAUAUGGCAAAUUCAGAUUAUGGUCAAAGCUUAAAAGGUGGCACCAAUCAACUUUGGAAAAAGGUACGUAGGGAGAAUAAAAACUUCUACAAACACAUCAUGGCGUGGAAUCAUCAUGGUUCUAGAACAAAUAAUUGAGUGCUGGUGUAAUCUUAAUAAAAGAGCUGUGUAAAAUGUGGGAAAAUAAUAAGGGUCUUGUUGAGUUAAUCAACUCCGAAAACAUGUGGAAAACACCGCAUGAGUGACGAGGCAGUUCAGUUCAUGCAAUUUAAAAUAAUUUAUACACUCUGCAGAGCAACGAAUAAGCUCAGAAGCAGCAACAUCAAGAAUAUAAAACUAAUUAAAGUCUCUCAUGCACUUACAAAAGAAUAAAUUCAAUAUGCCUACACUAGCAGAAUGUUUGUACAACGCCAUCUAAGCCCUCACUAAUACAGUCAUCCAUCUACUCGAGGGAUAGGAAAAUUGUGUGGAUUGUGCGCAUUUGGAUUCAAAAGCUGGUUAAUGAACAGGCUGACGUGCAAGAGAAUAACUAAUCAGACAUUUAAGCUCAUGGGGGCAUUAUAAAACUAGUUCAACUUGCAUUCUGACCAAACCUUCUUUCAAUUUACAAUUGCAUGUUGUAUGGAACUUGCUAUUUAAAGCAAGGAUGCUUUUAUUUCAUUUAUUAGCCUCCAUGAGAUCAGCAAGAGUUAUCUUUCCACAGUUGCCAGUGUCUAGUCUAUCAAACUUGUGGCAUAUCUGCAUAACAUCCUUCUCUGAUAUCUUUCCCAUCUCCUUGAGCUUGUAUAUGACAUAUUCUGAUUUACUGCAAAAACAACAACAGAACACUCUAUAAGAGUCUAAUCAUCAACCUGCCUAUUUCAUGUUGGCUUUGUUUCUAAAUAAAUGAACGGAGAAUAAAUGAUUACACAAGCGUUGAACGUUGAGGAAAUCCAGAAAAGCAAAAACAAAGUAGGCAGAGAUUACAGAUUUAGACUGCUAUUUGACAACUUACUCGCAGUCAUGGGAAGGAUGAUGAAUAACAAAGAAAUGAAUCAGCAUUGGAAAUGCAGGGUUUAAGUUCUUAAAUAGAUCAUCAAGCUUUUUCAAGCAUAGAACACAUAUUUGAAUGCCAAGCUACCCAAGAAAGUAAGAAACUCCAUAGAUCACAAAAAUUGCCAAGUAUGAAUGACAUAGGAAGUUGAAGGUUACCAUACAAUCUGUAAUACCCAUAUCUCAUUACAUGAAUCACUUGGAAUGUUUUUCCUUGUUCAGAAGAGCAAGGAUGUAUUAAUUUGUAAAAGUUGAAGUCUUUUGAGAUGAUGUUAGAGUGUCGAUUUACUUCUCCUUUCAACCAGGACGAAUUGUCGAACAAUUCCCAGCAGUGUCACAAGAAUUGGACACCUAAAGCUAACAGGAGAAAUUGAUGUUUAACUUGAUUCUGUCAAGCAGCACUCUCAAUAGUGAAAAGGGGAGAGAGAGGCCAAUACCAAACGUAAAUGCACAUCACUAGAAUCAAAGAGCAAGCAAAUCUGCAGUCUUCAUUACUACAUGAAGUUGUAAAUUUUCUAUGAAUAAUUUGAAAUUCAAACUUCAUAUUUGGAACUUGGAAGCACUGAACACAAAAAGUUCAGUAAGAAAAUUUUUGCAACAUUGAAGCUAAAACUGAAAUAUUUAAACUAGUGUUAAAAAAUGAAUUUUAGGUUCAGAUAAGGUAGAACUUGGCACAAUUUGCCGUUGUCUAUCACAUCUUAACAUAAGGUAUACCGCACCACAUGACUCCCGCAAUACCUUUAGUAAUCAUCAGACACAUAGUUUAACAGAUUCCAGCAGUACAUCAAAGCAAUUUACCAAACAUGAAGCUAUUUAUACCAAAAAAAAAAAAAACACUCAGACAAAGCUUGAUUGAACAUUAAACUUCAAGUCAGCAAAUCCCAAACAAAGUGAGAAGAUGAGAAUGCAUAAUUAGGGCACACAAAAUUACGAGUAUAACAUACCUCACAAAACCAUUGUUGUCAAUAUCAGCAGCAAGAAACUCAGCCACGGUCAUGUCCUGACCAAGUACCCACUUUGCCAUCUUCCUGUGCCGCUUAUCUACUCUGGCCUCAGCCAGAUACAAAAAUGCUCGAGCAACUGCAAGUGUGGAUACAAGCAACCAAAUGGAAGCAAAAAGUCGACCUGGCAUUGACUUAAAUGCCCUGUCCCCAUAGCCUACUGUGGUAACCGACAUAACUGAAAGAUAAAAGGAAUCCAACCAACCAAGCUUCUCAACAAAAUGCAUAACACCAACACCAAUUCCGAUACAAAGAACCACAACACCAAGUGCCAAUGCCACCUUCAUUCUUAUCCUCAUCCUCCCUUUUUUCACAUCAAUUAUAUAUGAUCCUGGAGACUCCUUAUGACCACCACCCUUAAUAGUUCUCAACAAAUAGUUCUCUUGCAAAUCAAGCACAUAACUAACCAUCCCAGUAAGCAAAAUAUCAACAAAGCCAAAUCCAACCAACACAAACAAGAUUGAAAACACCUUAGUUGGCACAGUCCUAGGGGUAAUAUCACCAUAGCCAAUGGUACACAUUGUGACAAUACAAAAAUACAAAGCAUCAACAACAGGAUGAGUCUCAGAAGCAGUAAAAUUAUGACGAUUAAACCAAUAAAUAGUGACGCCCAAUGAUAAAUAUAAGAUCAAAAGCACAACAGCUUGCCUAACAAUAGACUGAGAACCGAAUUGAGGCUUAGGAACAGCAUCAUGGUGCUUUAAAUCAUUGAUGACAGCCAUAGCGGGUGCAGUUUUUGACCUGUGAAGAUUGCUCUUGGCAAAAGCAUAAUUAGGAUCAAUUAACCAAGAUUGAGGUGAUUGCAAUUGUGAAGAUUGUUGCUGCUGCGGCAACAAUACUGCAUCUUGAAUCGAGGAUGACUGUUGCAGACUAGAUGAAUCUCUGGAAAAGAAAGAGGUGCUGGAAGAAGAGGAGGCACUGGUCGUGGGCGACGCGAGUGAAAGAGUCAAGGCAUCAACAAUGGGAGAAGCAUCUUUAGGAGACGUAACAGGUCCAAAUAUGAGUCUAUCUUUGAGCUCUGAAGGAGUUAUAGGCAUUGGAAUUGAGAUUUCUCCAUCUUCUGGAAGUGGAAACAGAGGAGGUGGCGGCGUCGGUUUCUUCCUCGGGCUCAAAUAACAUAAAAGAGGUUCUUUUUCCAUCCUCACAGGUAAGCCAAGCCGGAAAAACGCUUUUACUGGCAGAAAAGAAAAGAUUCAGCUUUUAUAACCCCACCUUAUUAUUAUUAUUAUUAUUAUUGGGUGGUUUUGGAGAACUGGGUUUCUCAACAAACAACCAAACGAUCAAUUUUUUUUUAAAAAAAAUAUAUAUUUAAGGAUGGAUUUGGAGAUGGUGACUGUAUUUGUGUAAGUUUGUGGAAGUGCUUUUAUUAAUUCUGAGGAUCAAAUUAAAAGGAUUUUAUUUUCUUUUAUAUUUUUGCAUUUAUAUUGUAGAAGAAGACGAUGAAAUAAAAGCUUUGAGAAAGUUUGGAUUCGAUCUCGUGUUUUGUGGCCGUCGUUUUUUUUUAAUGGAAAACCGCCGAGCAGUUGAAAGAAUUAAAAGCUGAAACUCCUUAAUCAUCGUCCUCAACGAUAAAAAGUUUUGGUUUCUUCUGUCAAAUGAUUGUGAAACACGCGCCAGUUGAUGGCGAGUGCGUCAUGUGAAUCUGAUUACAGACUGCCUACGGACGCUGCUUUUCGUAAUUGAAGGUGGCCACGUUUCACAAUUUGGAUACACACGCUGGCACAGCGCAUGUGACAAUUAUUAUUGAUACUAUAUUACUAGGGCGUAGAGUUAUUUAUAUUUUAAAAAUUAUUCGUACCAUUUUAUUAUUUUAUAUACUCGUAUCCUAAAAAAAUUAAAUUUUAUUUUUAUAUUCUUUAAAAUAAAAAAUUAUUUAAACUAGUUAAAUUAAUUUACUCAAAAUACUAAUGAAACUAUUUAGCACAUCUAAGAUGAAAUAAUAAUAAUUUAACAUUUAAAAUAAUGGAAUCAAAUUAUGCUUUAAACACAUUUUUUUAGCAUAAGUUUCAGUUAUUAUUUUUUGUUUAUUUACAAUAUGUUCAAUGUCAGUUUCUAUAUCCCAAUUUUUGAACCUAACCAUUUAAAAAAAAAAUAUGGCUACUAGCCCAAAAAAAAAAAGAUUAAAAAAAAGAGUAAGAAGAAGAAGACAACGGAGUAAAGGGAAAAGACUGCAAAAAAAUCUUUCUUUUUUUUUUCUUUUUAAAAUCAAAAAGUAAAAAUAUGUUCAAGAUAUAUUAAAAGUACUGAUUUGCUCCUUAUUUAACUGAAUACUGUUUAAGAGAUAAAAAAAUAAAUUUUUUUAGAGUUUAUGGCAAGAGAAUUAUAUAUUGAACAACAAAUUUUGAUAUUAGUGUUUAAAGUAAUUAUAUUAUAUUAGUUUAUAAGAAGGAGUUAUUAUUAAAAAUUAUGGGUAUUGUUAUAAUAAAAUAAUUUAUCAAAAUAAAAGUGGAUGGAGUAGGUAGUUAGUUUCUACACCGCAAAUACUAAAUGACGGGUCCGGCUACUUUGCAUAAGGAGUAAAGUAACACUUCUUCUUUGUCUUUUAGCGAUUUCAUCAUCAGAUGGUGAAGCAAAAUAUCAAAGGGCUGAAAUUUGAAAAAGAAAAAAGGUCUAAUUAUUGGGUUACCGGCAGAAGCUGUUAAGAAAAAUUAGGGUUUUUUUUAAAAAAAAAAUUGUUUCUUUAAUGUCUACUGUCUGAUAAGUUGAUCUAGCGAAUCUACUUGGUGGCCGAAGGCUAGUAGAGGCGAGGGACCCAAGCGUUACAUUUAUUAGAGUAAUGGGUUCAGAUACCUAUUAACAAACUCUUGCUUCUGUCAAUUAGGAUUUUCAUUGGCAAAGUUCGUGUAUUGUGUAUUUCAUCAAUCACACGGCGGCGGGUUCACAUACAACACGUGAGGUUCUGGUCUUUAUUAUGGUUGUUAGUCGAUGUCGCGAAACGACCAAUCGAGUCGUGCUGCAGCCAUGAGAUGAGAAGAGGAAUCAUCUUGGAAGAGAUUUUGUGAAUAUUGUGUUGCUGUUGUUGAGUGUCAAUCAGUGCAUCUUUCUUUCUUGCACAAAUUGAGGUAUGUUUUGGUGGUAAAUGACUGGGCUGGGACGAUGAGUUAGGACUGGCGAAUAAGAAGAUUUGGGUACACAAAACUAUCGAGUUUGCUUGUAAAGUAUAUAUACAUUAGGAGGCUAUUAAAAAAAAAAAAGGAUAGGAGUAAUCCAUACCUGCUUGGAUACUGGUGGUGAAGCUUUGUAAAAUUUAUAGAUGGUUGGUUCGAUUAAAUCGUUCUGUCGAACCUUAGUUGAGGUCCGGCUUGGAAGUUUUGGCUGCACCAGUCAUCUAAAGUAAUUGUUUUGAAUCUUUCUGUAAAUUGUAGAUGAAGCUGGAAGCAGCAGCAAUCAAUAAUUAUCUAUAAUUGUAUUGGCAUUUUGAUAAAUUUUCAUUAGAUAUUAUUUAAUUGAGUUUUUUUUUUUUCAUUUUCUGUACUUUGAAAAGUGAAAAGGUAUGUUUACAUCAUUUAUUAAACAUACUUUAUAGUUAAUCUGAUGUUUAUUUUGAUCAUUAUACAAUAAAUAGUAAUAAUAUAGUUAUAAAUUCA